AUUCCUUAUUGGCCUUGGCUAAAAUAUAGUAUUAUAUCUGUUCUUAUCAGUUUAAAAUGAUAUGUCCUCUAUCAAAGAACAAUAUAGUAAAUGGGUUUUUGGAUCAAGGAGAUGGAAUGAGAGCUUGCUCUGUCCACUCCACACAGACACCUGGUAUUGCAGUACCAUCAGGAAUGGCACACUCC
rfam:Tupaia chinensis contig236720, whole genome shotgun sequence.